rnacentral:rRNA from 1 species
AGAGUUUGAUCCUGGCUCAGGAUGAACGCUAGCGGCAGGCCUAACACAUGCAAGUCGAGGGGUAACAGGAGGGCUUGCUCUAGAUGACGACCGGCGCACGGGUGAGUAACGCGUAUGCAACCUACCUCAAACAGGGGGAUAGCUCAGAGAAAUCUGGAUUAAUACCCCAUAGUAUCCGGUAAUCGCAUGGUUUUCGAAUUAAAGCUCCGGCGGUAAGAGAUGGGCAUGCGUCCCAUUAGCUAGUUGGUGAGGUAACGGCUCACCAAGGCAACGAUGGGUAGGGGUUCUGAGAGGAUGAUCCCCCACACUGGUACUGAGACACGGACCAGACUCCUACGGGAGGCAGCAGUGAGGAAUAUUGGGCAAUGGACGAAAGUCUGACCCAGCCAUGCCGCGUGCAGGAUGACGGCCCUAUGGGUUGUAAACUGCUUUUAUAUGGGAAGAAACCCCUGAACGUGUUCGGGGCUGACGGUACCAUAAGAAUAAGCAUCGGCUAACUCCGUGCCAGCAGCCGCGGUAAUACGGAGGAUGCAAGCGUUAUCCGGAUUCAUUGGGUUUAAAGGGUCCGUAGGCGGGCUUUUAAGUCAGAGGUGAAAGCCUACAGCUUAACUGUAGAAUUGCCAUUGAUACUGCUAUUCUUGAGUUCAGUUGAGGUAGGCGGAAUGUGUAGUGUAGCGCUGAAAUGCUUAGAUAUUACACAGAACACCGAUUGCGAAGGCAGCUUACUAAGCUAUUACUGACGCUGAUGCACGAAAGCGUGGGGAGCGAACAGGAUUAGAUACCCUGGUAGUCCACGCUGUAAACGAUGAUCACUCGCUGUUGGCGAUACACUGUCAGUGGCCAAGCGAAAGCAUUAAGUGAUCCACCUGGGGAGUACGUUCGCAAGAAUAAAACUCAAAGGAAUUGACGGGGGCCCGCACAAGCGGAGGAACAUGUGGUUUAAUUCGAUGAUACGCGAGGAACCUUACCAGGGCUUAAAUGUAGGACGACAGUCUGGGAAACCAGAUCUUCUUCGGACGGCCUACAAGGUGCUGCAUGGUUGUCGUCAGCUCGUGCUGUGAAGUGUCGGGUUAAGUCCCAUAACGAGCGCAACCCCUAUUCUUAGUUGCCAGCGGGUAAUGCCGGGGACUCUAAGGAGACUGCCAGUGUAAACUGUGAGGAAGGUGGGGAUGACGUCAAAUCAGCACGGCCCUUAUGUCCAGGGCUACACACGUGUUACAAUGGCCGAUACAAUGGGCAGCUACCUGGUGACAGGAUGCUAAUCUCCAAAGUCGGUCUCAGUUCGGAUCGGAGUCUGCAACUCGACUUCGUGAAGUUGGAUUCGCUAGUAAUCGUAUAUCAGCAAUGAUACGGUGAAUACGUUCCCGGGCCUUGUACACACCGCCCGUCAAACCAUGGAAGCUGGGGGUACCUGAAGUUCGUAACCGUAAGGAGCGGCCUAGGGUAAAUCAGUGACUGG